CAAUGGGGAAGUCGGAGGAAA
rnacentral:miRNA from 1 species